GUUCUUGUCGGCCUCAUUUUUCCUUGUUCGGGGUUUGAGGUGCCACCUUACAAAAGGAUGGGUGUACGCUCUCUUUUCAGAAUGUGGUUCAUCUCAAAGCCCUUUACACUUUGGAGCCAGGCCUGUUCAAUUUUACAAAUAACACGUUUUGCUUGUAGUCAGGGUGCUGUGACAACAUGAAGAGUUCGAGCUACCUCCCAGGAUGAGUGCAGGUUUUCCUGGUGACAAAUCUCAGGCAUUCAAAGGUUCUGUUAGCAGUGCCAUACUUGUGGGUUUACAGAGAUGGUGUGUCUGGCUGAGAACAAAGGAGCCGUACCAGGAAAGUUGAAGCAUAUCUUCAUUUUCAAGUCCAGGCUAAAAUAAGGUCUGAGGAAAAGAAUGAGCUGCGUGUGAAGGAUAGGAACAGAAAUCAUGAAAGAUCUGUUUGUCCAGGCCAGUGUUUCACCAUAAGAGAUCACUUUAAAAUAAAUGAUGAAAUAAUUCUUUGCAAUUGCAAAUUUACCUUCCUUGCUUACCACAUUGUUAACUGUAGGAGCUGAUACCUGGUUCUUCCACUGUUAACUUGUACUCUGUGUUUGUUCUAGCAAUAAAUGCUCUUUAUGCUA
ensembl:processed_transcript Snhg1 small nucleolar RNA host gene 1